CCUACGGGAGGCAGCAGUGAGGAAUAUUGGUCAAUGGACGGAAGUCUGAACCAGCCAUGCCGCGUGCAGGAAGACGGCUCUAUGAGUUGUAAACUGCUUUUGUACAAGGGUAAACCUGAAUACGUGUAUUCAGCUGAAAGUACUGUACGAAUAAGGAUCGGCUAACUCCGUGCCAGCAGCCGCGGUAAUACGGAGGAUCCAAGCGUUAUCCGGAUUUAUUGGGUUUAAAGGGUGCGUAGGAGGAUUGAUAAGUUAGAGGUGAAAUGUCCGAGCUUAACUCGGGAACUGCCUCUAAUACUGUUGAUCUAGAGAGUAGAUGCGGUAGGCGGAAUGUAUGGUGUAGCGGGGAAAUGCUUAGAGAUCAUACAGAACACCGAUUGCGAAGGCAGCUUACCAAUCUAUAUCUGACGUGGAGGCACGAAAGCGUGGGGAGCAAACAGGAUUAGAUACCCGAGUAGUC
rnacentral:rRNA from 1 species